AGGCCCCAAAGGCACCGUGCAUGUGCAUGCUGUAUGUUGUAAAAUGGCAACGUUUCGCCUUUUAUCAUGUUUAUUAAAAUGUAUGCUUCAUAUGUAUGUUCUCUCUCUAUAUAUAAAUGAAUACUUUUCGGAAUUAAAAAAAAAAUAUUUUUAACCCCGCUCAAAUUAUCCGGAUGAUAAUAGUUUCACCGUGCAUGGUUUCGUAGUUAAAUUCAGACCGUAGAACAUCCGGUUUGAAUACAUGUGUUUUCUGACUUUUCGGAUAGCCAACUCUUGUUUUUUGGAACUUACGACUUAUGGCAAGAGAGAAGAAAACUGUGUGACUUUAAAAGAAAACCAGUGAGAUAAAAUUAUAGAAAAUGUAUGAUGAUUCAGGAUGUGGUCAUUUGUGACAGUAAAACAGGAAUUGUCAUCACCAAUAGACGAAUUUCACAUUCCUAAGAGUUUCCUCCAAUUGUCGGCGUAUCGCUCAUUUUCCCCACUUUGUCCUUUGUCCUGUUCUGUGGAUGCCCUUAGACAUUGUCUACCCAUCACUCCAUCUGAAAUCACUCGUUCUGUGCAUAUUUCUCUCUCAAACUUAAACUACAGAGAGCCUGUGGAUAGAGGAUGAAGAGUGACCUUGGACUAAUUUUCUAGGUCAAAGAUCAUAGGUGAUGUGAAGAAAACCAGGAAACUGAUGUUGAAAGAAGUACUUAAUGACCCUUAUGAAUGGACUUAAAUGUGAAAGACUGUUCCAUUGUUUAUCUAA